rnacentral:rRNA from 1 species
AGUGAACGCUGGCGGUAGGCCUAACACAUGCAAGUCGAACGGCAGCACAGUAAGAGCUUGCUCUUACGGGUGGCGAGUGGCGGACGGGUGAGGAAUACAUCGGAAUCUACUUUUUCGUGGGGGAUAACGUAGGGAAACUUACGCUAAUACCGCAUGCGACCUACGGGUGAAAGCAGGGGAUCUUCGGACCUUGCGCGAUUGAAUGAGCCGAUGUCGGAUUAGCUAGUUGGCGGGGUAAAGGCCCACCAAGGCGACGAUCCGUAGCUGGUCUGAGAGGAUGAUCAGCCACACUGGAACUGAGACACGGUCCAGACUCCUACGGGAGGCAGCAGUGGGGAAUAUUGGACAAAGGGCGCAAGCCUGAUCCAGCCAUACCGCGUGGGUGAAGAAGGCCUUCGGGUUGUAAAGCCCUUUUGUUGGGAAAGAAAAGCAGCAGGUUAAUACCCCGCUGUUCUGGCGGUACCCAAAGAAUAAGCACCGGCUAACUUCGUG